GUUUAGUCAGAUUGUGUUUGUUAAAAUGCGAUCAUACCACAUUUAAUCAAUGCAGAAAUUUCAAAGGGUUCACAAACUUGUAUAUGCAUAUCAAUAUAUGAGUGUAUAUCAAUUACUUCUCAUGAUCAAUAUCUGUUUUUUUUUUCAGGAUCUGUGAAUGAGUCGGUGUGUUGUUGUGCUCUUUAUUUUCUGAGGCCUUUCUUGUUGCUUUGGGCAGCUCCAUUUAUUAAAAAAUUGUUUGCAGGUAUGAUUAAUUUCAUCUGUUUAAUUAGUGGAGGUGAGAAAAUAAAUCAUAAUACCCAGAUGUUUGGAUUUUAUAUAAUCUUUGUGUGAGGGAUUUAACAAAACAUUAAAGAGUGUUUUAGUGUCAUUUGCAUUUCAUUGUGUUGGUUGUUUAAAUUACAUUGUGAUUGUAAUUAUUGUCUUUUCUGUUUUACAGUCAAGAUUAAAACAUGGAUUCAGAAAUACAGUUAUGUGGUAGAAUAUGCUGUUUUCUCGGUUAUUGUUUAUUCAGCUCUUUUUGCAACAGCUUGGGAAAAGUUUCUAAAUUAUGCUGUAUUUAAUAAAGUCAUCAUAAUAGUCCUGUUUGCAAUUGUGUUUGUGUGCUGCCUCUGCAAAAGCAUUUACAUUUUAGUUACAAUGGUUGGAAAGAAGAGUGGAUGGAUAGUAAAAAUAUUUGACGUCGUGGCUGAUAUGACCUUUGAAAUUCUGCCGACUGUACAAUUCAUCCUUCUGUUCUACAUGUUCGGAGUUGCCAGAGGUGGUGAGUUCACAUUUAUAAUGAUUUAAGUUUGUCUGUGUUCAUUUUACUCAGGGUUCAGAUCAACACAUUAGAACAUUUUAAUUAUUCUCUAGUGUAACUUUAAAACGCUCAUUAUUCAUUGAGACUGAUGUUCAUUUAUAAUGUAUUGUAAUCUGCUGUGAACCUGUUGAUGAAUUAUAAUAUCCAACAUUAAUAUAACAUCUUUCUUGUUUUUAGGAUUCAUCAUUAUUGUCAUUGUACCAGUGUUACUGAUGAUGAUAAACGAGAGAUUAUUUGAUAGAUGCAGAAAUGGGCUCGGCUGUAAGUAUCUGAUGAAUUGCGAUCUGAUCUCUGUGUAACUGCAUCAGUAUCUCUGUUAUAUUCAUUGGCAGGGUUUGGAGAAACAGGGUAAAGUGAUCUGAUGACAUAUUUACAAAAAUGUGCAUAAUAUGUU
ensembl:lncRNA